UUAACACGAAGGUGUAGGAUUAAAAGACUACUGUAAGUGAGUCACGUGACUCGCUUUUCUCACAAACGAGCUUCUCUCUCUCUUCCUUCCUUCAUCAAAUUUCUCUCGAUCUCUCUUUGUCAACGCGACGCCGCUGCUCGCCGCCACUCGCCGCCGAUGGACCUCACAACGCCACACCCGUAUCUCUCGUUUUGAACAUCACCGCCUCCUUCUCUGUUCAAUUUCAUGAGUUUGGAUCUAUUCUUCUUUUGAACAUCAACGCCACACCAGGAACAAGGUACUGGUGUAGCAAUAGUUGAAGUGUAAAUGAACUAGGCACUGCUACUGAACUAGGCACUGCUGAAAUUGGCAAAUGAACUAGGCACUGCUGUCCAAGACCAGUUAAAUGAAAUUGGUACUGGUGUCGAAGACUAGCGUGAAAUUCUGUCGAAGACUAACUGAAAUUGGCAAAUGAACUAGGCACUGCUGUCCAAGACCAGUUAAAUGAAAUUGGUACUGGUGUCGAAGACUAGCGUGAAAUUCUGUCGAAGACUAACUGAAAUUGAUGCUUAGUUUAAUGUAGUUGUAAUCUGCGACAAAGCUCACUGGUGCUUAGUUUGUAUUCACUAUGCUUACACAUUGUAAAUGAAAGAACUUGGCACUGCGUUGAUUUUGUCGAAGAUGUAGAUUGUAAAUGGGGGUUAGCUCUAUUUGUAGAGUGAUUCACAUUGUAAAUGGGAAUUAGCUCUAUCUUUGUACAAAUUGUAAUUAUCAUCUUAUAUUAAAUGAAAAAGUUUGAUUGAAUUGCCUCAA